rnacentral:rRNA from 1 species
AGAGUUUGAUCCUGGCUCAGGACGAACGCUGGCGGCGUGCCUAACACAUGCAAGUCGAACGAGGUCCAUCCGGUGGCAACACUGGGGAAGACCUAGUGGCGAACGGGUGAGUAACACGUGAGGAACCUGCCCCGAAGACCGGGAUAACCCUCCGAAAGGAGAGCUAAUACCGGAUACCCCCACCGGACCGCAUGAUCUGGUGAGGAAAUGGAUUCCGCUUCGGGAGGGUCUCGCGGCCUAUCAGCUUGUUGGUGGGGUAAUGGCCCACCAAGGCUUCGACGGGUAGCUGGUCUGAGAGGACGAUCAGCCACACUGGGACUGAGACACGGCCCAGACUCCUACGGGAGGGCAGCAGUGGGGAAUCUUGCGCAAUGGGCGAAAGCCUGACGCAGCAACGCCGCGUGGGGGGAUGAAGGCUCUUCGGGUUGUAAACCCCUUUUCAGCAGGGACGAAAACUGACGGUACCUUGCAGAAGAAGCCCCGGCCAACUACGUGGCAGCAGGCCGCGGGUAACACGUAAGGGGGCAAGCGUUGUCCGGAUUUAUUUGGGCGUAAAGAGCUCGUAGGCGGCUCUGUAAGUUGGGGUGGUGAAACCUCCACGCUUCAACGUGGAGAUGCACUCGAUACAGCUGUGGACUCGAGUCAGGUAGGCGAGCGUGGGACUUUCUUGGUGUAGCGGUGGAAAUGCGCAGAUAUCCGGGAGGCAUCACCAGCGCAGAAUGCCGCUCUCUUUGCGUCCGGAAUCUUGACUGUCUGAGGAGCGAAAAUGCGUGGGUAAUCCACACGAGGUAUGAGUAUACCCCUGGUUAGUCACACGGCCGUAAACGGUGGGGACAAUAGUGUUGUGGGUUACCAAACCCAGGGAAUCCGGUGCUGUAAUAUAACGCAUUAAGUGCCCCCGCCUGGGGAAGUAGCGCCCGCAAGUUUAAAACCUCGAAAGGAAUUGACGGGGGCCCCGCACAAGCCGCGGGGAGCAUGUUGCUUAAUUUCGGAGGCAACGGGGAAGAAACCUUUACCCUGGGUUUUGACAUUUAGGGAAAAAGCCGUAAGAGAUUCGGGUUGUCCUUUCGGGGCCCCUACCACAGGUUGGUUCCAUGGGCUGUCGUCCAGCCUCGUUGUCGUGAGGAUGUUGGGGUUAAGUCCCCGCCACGGAGGCGGCAACCCCUUGGUCCUUGGUGUUGCUUACCCGGGUAAUGCCCGGCAACUCUCCAGGAGGACUGCCCGGGGUCAACUCGGAGGGAAGGGUGGGGGAUGACGUCAAGUCAUCAUGCCCCUUAUAUCCCAGGGCCGCAAACAUGCUACAAUGGCCGGUACAACGGGCUGCUACCCCGCGAGGGGACGCGAAUCCCUUAAAGCCGGUCUCAGUUCGGAUUGGAGUCUGCAACUCGACUCCAUGAAGUCGGAGUCGCUAGUAAUCCCGGAUCAGCCACGCCGGGGUGAAUACGUUCCCGGGCCUUGUACACACCGCCCGUCACACCACGAAAGUCGGUAACACCCGAAGCCGGUGGCCCAACCCUUUUGGGAGGGAGCCGUCGAAGGUGGGAUCGGCGAUUGGGGUGAAGUCGUAACAAGGUAACC